rnacentral:lncRNA from 1 species
UUGUGAGGGGAGAGGAAGAAACCAGUACUACUGAUGGGAUUUUGUGGUGGCAGAUAAGGAAGGUUACUUACUCUGAGGUGUAUCUGGAAAUAAGGACAACAUUCUGAAGAAAACGCUAGAAGCUUUACAAGUACUGCUGCUCUUGAAACAACUUUCUUUUUUUCAGUCAGUCAAGACCAUUCACCUUAGCACCACAGCUAUUAUUCAGAAAUUUCCAUAUCACCUCACACAGGGAUGUCUUCUGAUCCAGGUUCCAGACCUAUUCUUCAUGGUCUGUGUGAAGGCUCCAGGCCCACCCAUGGGGAUUGGUUCUUGCAGCAAACCUGGCGUGGACCCACUAUUCUUGCCUGGAGGGGGAACUGCGGAGAAGCAGGAGAAGUUCCUAGGAGGAUUGGAAUACUGAAGUCACUGCUCCUUUCCCUGCCUCUUCAAAAUCCAAGUUUAUUUUAUUCAAUGAAGAAACACUGGCAAGGAUGGGUUUACAGCUGAGGCUCAAACCUGCAAGGAAA